rnacentral:rRNA from 1 species
GUUGGGAAUAUUGGACAAUGGGCGAAAGCCUGAUCCAGCCAUGCCGCGUGUGUGAAGAAGGUCUUCGGAUUGUAAAGCACUUUAAGUUGGGAGGAAGGGCAGUAAGUUAAUACCUUGCUGUUUUGACGUUACCGACAGAAUAAGCACCGGCUAACUUCGUGCCAGCAGCCGCGGUAAUACGAAGGGUGCAAGCGUUAAUCGGAAUUACUGGGCGUAAAGCGCGCGUAGGUGGUUUUGUAAGUUGGAGGUGAAAUCCCCGGGCUCAACCUGGGAACUGCCUCCAAAACUGCAUGACUAGAGUACGGUAGAGGGUAGUGGAAUUUCCUGUGUAGCGGUGAAAUGCGUAGAUAUAGGAAGGAACACCAGUGGCGAAGGCGACUACCUGGACUGAUACUGACACUGAGGUGCGAAAGCGUGGGGAGCAAACAGGAUUAGAUACCCGAGUAGUCC